CUAACUUCUGUACCCCAGCAUAACCUCCAAAGUAACAGCCGUGCCCUGGGAGCCUGUUCAACACUGAACAUAUCCCACAAUAACACAGUUCCAGCGUCGCUGGUAAAAAGCAGAAAUGGCUUCGGGGAGAAGGCAACAAAUCAAGACUCUAACCAGCUUAGGCAAAAGGAAGAACUUAUAUAAACUGGAGGCAUCAAUAAAUCUAAUGCAGUGACCUCAUGUUACAGAAGAGAACUCUAAGAGGAUAAAUAACUUGGCCAAGAUCACAUGGUAAAUAGUGAAAACAUCUGGGCUGGAAUCCAAGUGUUAUUUUUUAUCUAGUGCUGCUAUCUUGAUCUCAUUAUUUGUUUAGAAAUACUUUAGCUUUUGCCAAAAAUAUUUAACAAUUAUGGGUUCUUAUUUGUACAAUCUUUGAAUCAAACUAUACAUAAAUCCCAGGUCUCCCAGUGUCCAGUAGCAGCAAGGCUUAGAGGAGGUCAGAACAU
rnacentral:lncRNA from 1 species